GGAGAGUGAGGCUGUUUAUUGUGUAUGAAUUCACAUUGUAUCAACAACUCCACGUAAUAUUAAAACACUGCGAGAAAGUGGGUGCGGCACACCUGGAAUUUUAAAAAAGUCAGAAAUAAAAACAACCAGACAUCCCAAUGCAGAUGGCAUAGAACCUGCUAGAACCACAGGUGGCGGCUGGAAACAGGAGACAGGUCUUUACAAAGAUUAGAUCGGCAACGGUUCCGUGGACAGAGGAGGCGCGGUUGGCCAUGGCUUCUGUGCAGAGGGCCCGAGGAUGUUUAAUAAGUGACCCCUUGAGGAAGGGCGUGGUGGCUCCACCUCCCCCCAGAAGCCCCUCCCGGGUCACUCACGCAUGGGCAGGUGUGUGAUGGCCCCUCCUACCUGCCCCAGAGCUUGGGCAGGAUAGGGCCUGUUAACUUGGAGAUGGAUGCGUGGCCUGGAGGCCUAGCGUUGCACCCCGGACACGGUGGCCAGCCCGUCAAAGGGACCACGCAGAGAGAGAGAAAGUGGAGCACCUUCCGCCCCGGCCCAGCCGCCCUGUUUAUGUCCCCAGAGGCCAGAGGUCACAGCUGAGCUGUCUGUGCUUGGCCUGGGGUUACCCCUGGGGAGGGUGGGAGAAGGGUGCGUGUUCUGGCUCCUUGCUGGAGAGAGGACAGGGUAGGCGGAGCUAGUCCGGGAAGGUGCCCAGGUGGGUCACGACAGGGUCGGGGCCUGGCCCGCUGUGGCCCUUCACCCGGCAACUGGUUUCUCGCUCAGGACCAGGGAAGAGACCCAGGCGGCAGAAGGAGAAACGGCCUUCUUGCUCCCACCCGACGCUGCCUUGUGUGUGUGUGCGCGUGGGUGGGGGUGAGUGUCCUUAACUCUCUUUUUCCCCUGACGUGGCUGAGAGACGCUGGUGUCCCCAAGGCUAGAGCUGCUGCUGCCACCCCCGCCCGCCAGCCCCGCAUCUGGAGGUGCACGCACGCUCCUGGAAAUGCCCAUAAAACACGCGUUCACCCCAGGGAUUCCCGGCAGAAAAGCACGUGCGGCGGUGGGUGUGUGUGCUCCUCUGCAAAAGUAUUUUCCACACUGUGGUCACUGAGGUUUACUCUACAAGAAAAAAAGGGGAGAAUUUUUUUUUUAAUCCCCCAAGCUAGAAAAUCCACAGGCUUCUGGCAAUGGCCACCUCCCUGGGGUCCGGGAGAUGGUGGGGUCCGGAUAGCUCAGGGAACCCAAGGCUCUAUGGACAGUGAAGGAGAGGCCAGCCUGUCCUUCCCCUCCCUGAGCCUCAGUUUACCUAGAACGCUUGGACCCCAGGCUCUCUGACUUCUGUGCAGGGUCCCGUCUGUGGGGCGGGAGGACGUGGCUUUAGGGGCCUUUGGAGCUGAGAGUCCCUGGAAGCCGGGAUUGAACCCCACCAUCUCCACCAGCCUAGGAGGCCCGGCUGCCUGGGCUGUGUCUCUGCAGCGGCCUCCGUUCCCCGCUGGCAUUUCUGGGGUCACAUCGUUAGGACACACCAGUGGGGCCGGGCUUGGCACAGCUGUGCCCCCUCCUCCCUCUGCCCUGGCAGCGGGGGCUCGGGGAUUAAGGCCUCUUUUAAGGAAAAACGGGCUGCGGUGCGUUUGUUCCCAGUUACCAAGAUGGCUCGCUGGGAAGGGUGGGGGCAGGCGGGGUCUCCCUGCCUGGGGUCCUCCCAGGGUUUCUGGAACAGACUUUUGUCUCUUCCCACCAUUCCUGCUAUGGGUGGUGGGGAUGCCCACACCCCAAGCCUCGCCUGCUCCCGGCCCAACCACGGGAGGCUGCAGUCUCUGGGGAGCCUCUGGGGCUCUCCUGGGCCAACAGCAGGUUUGGCGGGGAGGGCUCCCCAAAGCCCCAGCCCUCCCGGACCGGCCGUAGAGAGCUGGGUGCCGGGGGUGGGGAGCCCAGCUGUUGCCUGUGGGAGCCGCCCGAGGUUGAGGAGUGAAGGUCACUCUCCCUGCACCGGCAACACGCAGAACCCUCUAGCCUUGUGAGGUGGGAACCCCGGCAGUCGCCCCAGGAAGGGAGCUGAGCAGGGAUCACCGCCCCAUGGGCCUGCACAGAGGACCUGGGCAGCCGUCUAGGAACCCUCUCGGCACGGGUCCUUAGAUGCCCAUUUCCACUGGGACUGGAGGGACAGGGCUGGGCUAGUUUUUUUCUUUUUUCUACUACUUGCUUCUGGGUCAGCCCCAUGGAGGGGAGUCGGGGCGGCCAGGCCUCCUGCGAUCAGGGCUGUGUGGGGUCCCGGCGGCUCAGGGUCCGGCUCAGGGUCCAGCUCAGGUGUGGCCCCCAGUGACGCCAGCAGGCCUGGGAGGAUGUGGCUGCACCUGCUCCCGUCUGUGCCGCAGAGGAGGACACAGUCGUCUUUCAGAAACCUCCCCCCGACCUCAUGGCAUCUUCGAUUUCCACGUGCCGCUGGGAGGAGCGACCCGUUCUGCGCCUAACGCAUCUCCCGGCCUCAGGCAGCCGUCCCGGGUUGCACGGGGUGGAAAAGUGAAAAGAUUGGGUUCGAGCGACAGGGCAACGUUUUGAGCGGACGUUUCGAUCUCCCGGACAACGUCUCACCUCCUGGCGUCCUUCAAAGUCACUUCAAGAUCAUGGAACAACUUUGUAUACACGGCAGCACACGGCAGCCCCACCCGCCCCGCCGCGGCUCCUCGGCCUGCAUUUCUGUUUGAGAAAUGUCUACGGUGGAUGUCAGAGGGUAGAACAAGCCAGAAGAACCAAGGACGGUCAAAGCCUCUCCCGUCCACACAGAUGCCUGGUGCUGAAAACACGCCGGGCGCGGUGGCUCACGCCUGUAAUCCCAGCACUUUGGGAGGCCGAGGCGGGGGAAUCACGAGGUCAGGAGUUCGAGACCACCCUGGCCAAUAUGGUGAAACCCCAUCUCUACUAAAAAUACAAAAAUUAGCUGGGCGUGGUGGCGCACGCCUGUAAUCUCAGCUACUCAGGAGGCUGAGGCAGGAGAAUCGCUUGAACUGGGGAGGCGGAGGUUGCGGUGAGCCGAGAUCGUGCCACUGCACUCCAGCCUGGGUAACCAGAGCGAAACUCCAUCUCAAAAAAAAAAAAAAAAAAAAAAAA
rnacentral:lncRNA from 1 species